rnacentral:rRNA from 1 species
AGAGGAAGUAAAAGUCGUAACAAGGUCUCCGUAGGUGAACCUGCGGAGGGAUCAUUUACUGAGUGAGGGCCUUCGGGGCUCGACCUCCAACCCUUUGUGAACACAAACUUGUUGCUUCGGGGGCGACCCUGCCGUUUCGACGGCGAGCGCCCCCGGAGGCCUUCAAACACUGCAUCUUUGCGUCGGAGUUUAAGUAAAUUAAACAAAACUUUCAACAACGGAUCUCUUGGUUCUGGCAUCGAUGAAGAACGCAGCGAAAUGCGAUAAGUAAUGUGAAUUGCAGAAUUCAGUGAAUCAUCGAAUCUUUGAACGCACAUUGCGCCCCUUGGUAUUCCGAGGGGCAUGCCUGUUCGAGCGUCAUUUCACCACUCAAGCCUCGCUUGGUAUUGGGCGCCGCGGUGUUCCGCGCGCCUCAAAGUCUCCGGCUGAGCUGUCCGUCUCUAAGCGUUGUGAUUUCAUUAAUCGCUUCGGAGCGCGGGCGGUCGCGGCCGUUAAAUCUUUUAUAAGGUUGACCUCGGAUCAGGUAGGGAUACCCGCUGAACUUAAGCAUAUCA